ensembl:lncRNA
GCUGCCUCCAUCCUCGCUGCCUCCACCCUCGCUGCCUCCGUCCUCGCUGCCUCCACCUGCAGCCUCCUGGUCAGUGUCGGUCCCCCGGCUGGUGGUGCACCUGUUGGUGGGAGCCCCUUACCUGCUGUCCACCAUCUUACUGGGCCUCGUUUGCAGGGACAAGAACAGAGCUUCCUGUUCCUCGAGUGACACGAGCCAGGCGACCCAACUGGUUUCAUUCCAUUAUCCGGUCCAAUGCCACACCAAAGCGGUUGUUUGGAGAAGAAGGUAAAAGCGGCUUUACCACCUGGUUUUAAGUUGCCUUCAUCGGGUCUGCGGCGUAUUUCAACUCGGGUUGUUGAUGC